rnacentral:rRNA from 1 species
GACGAACGCUGGCGGCGUGCUUAACACAUGCAAGUCGAACGGAAAGGCCCUGCUUUUGUGGGGUGCUCGAGUGGCGAACGGGUGAGUAACACGUGAGUAACCUGCCCUUGACUUUGGGAUAACUUCAGGAAACUGGGGCUAAUACCGGAUAGGAGCUCCUGCUGCAUGGUGGGGGUUGGAAAGUUUCGGCGGUUGGGGAUGGACUCGCGGCUUAUCAGCUUGUUGGUGGGGUAGUGGCUUACCAAGGCUUUGACGGGUAGCCGGCCUGAGAGGGUGACCGGCCACAUUGGGACUGAGAUACGGCCCAGACUCCUACGGGAGGCAGCAGUGGGGAAUAUUGCACAAUGGGCGGAAGCCUGAUGCAGCAACGCCGCGUGCGGGAUGACGGCCUUCGGGUUGUAAACCGCUUUCGCCUGUGACGAAGCGUGAGUGACGGUAAUGGGUAAAGAAGCACCGGCUAACUACGUGCCAGCAGCCGCGGUGAUACGUAGGGUGCGAGUGUUGUCCGGAUUUAUUGGGCGUAAAGGGCUCGUAGGUGGUUGAUCGCGUCGGAAGUGUAAUCUUGGGGCUUAACCCUGAGCGUGCUUUCGAUACGGGUUGACUUGAGGAAGGUAGGGGAGAAUGGAAUUCCUGGUGGAGCGGUGGAAUGCGCAGAUAUCAGGAGGAACACCAGUGGCGAAGGCGGUUCUCUGGGCCUUUCCUGACGCUGAGGAGCGAAAGCGUGGGGAGCGAACAGGCUUAGAUACCCUGGUAGUCCACGCUGUAAACGGUGGGUACUAGGUGUGGGGUCCAUUCCACGGGUUCCGUGCCGUAGCUAACGCUUUAAGUACCCCGCCUGGGGAGUACGGCCGCAAGGCUAAAACUCAAAGGAAUUGACGGGGCCCCGCACAAGCGGCGGAGCAUGCGGAUUAAUUCGAUGCAACGCGUAGAACCUUACCUGGGUUUGACAUGGAUCGGGAGUGCUCAGAGAUGGGUGUGCCUCUUUUGGGGUCGGUUCACAGGUGGUGCAUGGCUGUCGUCAGCUCGUGUCGUGAGAUGUUGGGUUAAGUCCCGCAACGGGCGCAACCCUUGUUCACUGUUGCCAGCACGUUAUGGUGGGGACUCAGUGGAGACCGCCGGGGUCAACUCGGAGGAAGGUGGGGAUGACGUCAAGUCAUCAUGCCCCUUAUGUCCAGGGCUUCACGCAUGCUACAAUGGCUGGUACAGAGAGUGGCGAGCCUGUGAGGGUGCGCGAAUCUCGGAAAGCCGGUCUCAGUUCGGAUUGGGGUCUGCAACUCGACCUCAUGAAGUCGGAGUCGCUAGUAAUCGCAGAUCAGCAACGCUGCGGUGAAUACGUUCCCGGGGCU